CUUAAUCUCCAAAUUUCAUCUCGGUAAAAACGAAUAACGAACUCAAUCGGUAAAGCUUAUUUUAACUGAAAUGUCGUUAAAAUUUGACAGUUCACCAAAAAUAACUAGUCAAAAAUAACGAAAUUCGGUAAUAUACGUUCAUUACUGAUUAUCGGCAAACUUUUUUGCCACAGCAAUCGGCAAUCUAAUCAUGUCGCUGAAUUUCGGUAAAGCGCAUCUGUCAAAAAUGAAAACGGGCACGUUGUCGUCUGGGUGCCAUCUCCAAAAAAAAUGGUAGAAGGAUUUUUUACAGCAAAUUUCUUUCAUCGAUGGAAUUUGUAUCCCCUCGUUGGUUCGAGAAUGGAGCACUGAAGGAGUGUUUUUUCUGGCUUGUGUUUGUUUGCUGCCGGGACGGACGCUGCUUCAAUCGUCAUGAAGGAGGAAAAGCUCCCUGUAAAAGCAUCUGACUACGAAGGCCGCCCGCAAAAGUGUUCUCUCGACCGACGGAGCGAAGAAGCCACAUUGUUACCGGCCGGGAACGGCAAGGGAAACGGUAGGUCCACCGAGUUGCUGAUCCACAGUUGCCGUUCCAGCUUGCGUUCCAGUACUUGGUUCGUUAAAUUGCGCAGGAUUUCAAGAUGGAUCUGUGCCUCCAAAGUGCCACCGUUGCUGCCCUGCAGAAAGCCAGCAAUACGUACCUGUUCAGAUUGCUCGAGGACACCAAUCUAUGUGCGACCAACACCAAGCACGGCACAAUCAUGUCGAAGGAUAUCCAACUGACCCGGCGGAUCCGUUGCGAGCGUACUUAAGGAGGUGCAGGAGGAAGUGACCCCAGGGGAAGUGUGAAGUUUUGUUUUACUAUUUUUUUUGCUUGCAUCCUGGGUUGCAUGAAUGAAAUUGUUCAAUUUUAAUUGAAUUCCCUUUAUUAUAGAGACUUUAGCCUUGGGCUGGUUUAUCUCUGAAUAAAAUUGUUAUUCUAUAAUAAUCAUA